rfam:Populus trichocarpa scaffold_10_contig_161, whole genome shotgun sequence.
UCUAGAACUCGAGAUAUGGAUGCAGGACAGAUUCGGACUUCUUCAUUGUUGCUACAAUUUGGACUUGAAAAAGGCCUUGUUAAAUCUUGGACUCCGCAUGAAAGUUGUAGGCCUAUGUCUUAGCUUUCCAUC